UACGGAGGAUCCGAGCGUUAUCCGGAUUUAUUGGGUUUAAAGGGUGCGCAGGCGGGAGAUUAAGUCGGCGGUGAAAUUUUGCAGCUCAACUGUAAAAGUGCCUUCGAUACUGGUUUCCUUGAGUGUGGAUGAAGUAGGCGGAAUUUGUGGUGUAGCGGUGAAAUGCUUAGAUAUCACGAGGAACUCCGAUUGCGCAGGCAGCUUACUAAACUACUACUGACGCUCAGGCACGAAGGCGUGGGGAUCAAACAGGAUUAGAUACCCCUGUAGU
rnacentral:rRNA from 1 species